GCUCCAGCCCAGGAUAUCCACGUGCUCCAUUCGGGGUUCCGGACAGAACACUCACCAUGGACUUUGGGCUGAGCUGGGUUGUCCUUGUGGCUAUUUUACAAGGUGUCCAGUGUGAGGUGCAGCUGGUGGAGUCUGGGGGAGGCUUGGUGCAGCCUGGGGGGUCUCUGAGACUUUCCUGUGCAGCCUCUGGAUUCACCUUCAGUAGCUAUGCCAUGAGCUGGGUCCGCCAGGCUCCAGGGAAGGGGCUGGAGUGGAUCUCAGGUAUUAGUAGUGGUGGUAGCACAUACUAUGCAGACUCUGUGAAGGGCCGAUUCACCAUCUCCAGAGACAACUCCAAGAACACGCUGUAUCUGCAAAUGAACAGCCUGAGAUCUGAGGACACGGCCGUGUAUUACUGUGCGAAAGAUACACAGUGAGGGGAAGUCAGUGUGAGCCCAGACAC